rnacentral:rRNA from 1 species
AUGGCACAUGGACGUCAAAGGUUGCUCUGCUUUGAGUAUGUACCUAAAGGAAGUCUUGAUGAGUAUAUCAAAGAUGCAUCUAAUGGACAUGACUGGAUUAAGACCUAUGCGAUAAUAAAUGGCAUUUGUGAAGGUUUACAUUACCUUCACCAGAAUCAUAUUGUUCACUUAGAUCUCAAGCCCGCAAAUAUUCUGCUGGAUGGCAAUAUGAUGCCAAAAAUUACCGACUUUGGGCUAUCAAGGUGCUUUGAUGAGAAGCAAACCCAAGCUAUUACCAAAAAUAUGGCUGGCACAUUAGGGUAUAUCGCACCAGAGUUUUAUAAUGGAUACAUACACACGAUCACAUACAAGUCGGACAUAUAUAGUCUUGGUGUCAUAAUUAUAGAGAUGCUGACUGGAAAGAAGUGGUAUCCAGCAUAUCCUGAUGUUCAUAAUGUAAGAACGGUACUUGAAAGUUGGAUGAAUAAGUUGGGGAAAUCACAGCAGGACACACAACUGAAACAGAUACGGUUAUGCACCGAGCUAGGGAUAGAGUGCACUGAUGGUAAACAAGCGAACAGGCCAGAUACAACGCAUAUUAUCACUAGACUUGGUGAAACAGAAAAUGCAUACAUCAUAACUGGUGUUAGUAGUUCAACGGUACCACAGGUAGAAAGGACUUUAGAAAAGCCGGAGGAUGGCACCAACAACUUGCUUCCGAGGAGGAAUAUUGUUCAUCUCAUGAAUGAUAAUGCCGAGAAAAAUGUUACUCCUUGGCAGGGGGCAGCUAAGAAUCUUCAUGCAACCCAAGAAUCUCUCAAUGAUAAUCAUCAUAUUGUUGCAGUCGAGUCUGGUUCAUCUACUGAGAAUCUUCAUGCAACCCAAGAAUGUCUCAAUGAUUAUCAUCACAUUGUUGCAGUCAAGUCUGGUCCAUCUAUGUCUGCUGAGGACUGUAACCUUAGAGAGGCCCAAAAAUGUCUCAAUCAUAAUCUUCACAUUUUUGCAGACGAGUUUGGUCCAUCUAUGUCUGUUGAGGCUCGUAACCUUCAAGAGGCUCUCCAACUCAUUAAAGAUGAUCCAGUGGGAGUGAUUGGAAUAUGGGGUCCAGGUGGAGUGGGGAAAACACACCUUUUGGACAAUAUAAAAAAGUCACUUGAUGGAAACAUGACCUUUAACUAUGUUUUAGAAGUGACGAUUUCAAGGGGGCGUUCGGUGGAAAAGAUCCAAACUGAUAUUGCACAACAACUCAAUCUGGAUGAAUUCAAGAAAGAUUCUGAUGUGCAAUUUAGAUGUCGUGUCAUUUAUAAUUUUUUGAAGAAGAGAAGCUUUCUUAUAUUGUUAGAUGACCUUUGGGACCAAAUUGAUCUGCAAGCAGUUGGCAUACCAUAUCCUCUUGGAAGUGUAAACCAAAUCAGGAGAAAAGUGGUACUCACAACUAGAUCAAGAAAAGUUUGUGGUCAAAUGGAGGUGAGAAAAGAAUUAAAAAUAGCUUGUCUGCAGGAGGAUGAGGCAUGGCAACUAUUCAAAAAGAAUGUCCGUCAUGAAACUUUUUCUUCUAAUCCCUGCAUUGAAACUCUUGGAAAAGAACUUCUGAAGGAAAUGAAGGGAUUGCCAUUAGCUUUGGUAACUAUAGGACAGACAAUGUAUGCAAAAACUGAUACGGCUGAGUGGGAAUAUGCCAUCCAAUAUAUGAAACAGUCAUGUUGUGUUAAUGAUGACCCGCUAGAUAUGGAAAAAGUUGUUUUCAGGCAGGUAAAGUUUAGUUUUGAUAGUUUACGAAACAACAUUUUGAGGAAAUGUUUCUUGACUUGUGCACUGUGGCCAGAGGAUCAGAAAAUUCCUAGAGAAAUGCUCGCUCGAUGUUGGAUUGGCUUAGGUCUCGUGUCUGAACCAAACAUACAAAGUUCCUACAGAACAGCAUAUUAUCUGAUGGGCGAACUUUCAGCUGCAUGCUUGUUAGAGCAGGACCAUGGAAUUAUAAUGUUCAAUGAAUAUCUUGGAAUGCAUGAUUAUGUUAAAAUGCAUGAUGUGGUUCGUGACAUGGCUUUAUGGAUCGCUUGUGGCUGCGGUAAGAAUAAUAGCAAGUGGUUUGUCCGCGCAGGAGUUGGUUGGGACGAAAAAAUUAACAUCCCUUGGAGUCAAGUUGAAUGUGUCUCAUUGAUGAUGAACUGGUUGUUGGAUUUUCCUCCUGUUGACUCUAAUCCUUGCCACAUGAGGAUGUUAUGCCUUGGAAAUGACGACUUGAGUAGAUUACCAUAUUACGAAAUCAGAAAAUUCACUUCACUGACAUACCUGGAUUUGAGCUUCAACAAGCUGGGUUUCAUACCUAAAGAAUUAUGUUCCUUGGCAAACCUGGAACACCUUGAUUUAUCGGGAAAUAGUGAUAUAAAAGUAGUGCCUCACUGUUUUGGAAACCUCAUUAAGCUCAAGUUCUUGUACCUAGAAGAGACUAGGAUACAGAUGUUACCAGAGGGGGUCAUAUCUAAACUUCAAGCAUUGCAAGUAAUAGAUAUCAGAACCCAUUGUUUGCCACGUCCAGUUUCUGAGAACAUAAGAAUGCUUCGAGAGUUGGGCGCCCUAACCAACUUGAAAGCAGUUGGUAUCUAUGUGGAGUAUCUAUGUGCACUACUAAAAAAAGGUGCUGACCUCCCCAUUAGGUAUUUAAUUUUGGAGGAUCAUGAGACACGUGUACUCAAUUUCUCGGAUAUUCUGUCGCAUGACUUUGCACGAAGGACCUUGUAUGAACUAACAAUUCACAUGCUAAACUUGGAUCAAAUAAUAACAAGAAAAGAGUCGGCACUACCAAGCUGUUGUUUUGGUGCUCUCAAUCAGCUCCAAUUAUCAGAGUUUGAUAACUUAAGAGAGAUAACUUGGAUGGAAACAUGUCCAGCAUCUCUAUUCCCAAAGCUCACGUGUUUGUUUGUGGACUACUGGCAAGAGCUAAAACACCUCUCUUGGGCGAUGUAUCUGCCUUGCCUCGAACAACUCCACAUAUUUAACUGUAAUGUGAUGCAGCAACCAUUUGUGAUGCACCAUGAUGAUAACAAGUUCGGCGAACAAGACAGUUCAAAUACAUUUCCCCGCCUCAAAUAUCUGACAUUUUCAUGUUGCUCAUCGCUGGUCAGUAUUGGUGAUCCCGAUGUGACAUUCCCAUCCCUAGAGCGACUGGAGUUUGAACAUUGUGCAGAAUUGAAGAGUCUUCCUUUCAACAUGGACAACUUGCCACGAAAACUGCAGUUUGUGCAGAUUGAUGUUAAAUCCUGGGAGAGAAUGAAAGGGGAAUUGGAAGAAGGUGUCAAAUCUUUCCUGGAACCCAAGCUUAAAUUGUUUGGAGUACUAUGA